rnacentral:snRNA from 1 species
GUGUUUGUUUCGGCAGCGCACGCACUGAAACUGGAAUGACAGAGGCAUGAGCAUGGCCCCUGUGCAAGGAUGACGUGCAAACGUGUGAGUCGGCGUUU